GAAUUGCGAAAAGUAAUGUGAAUUGCAGAAUUCCGUGAAUCAUCGAAUCUUUGAACGCAUAUUGCGCUCUCUGGCCCUCCAGAGAGCAUGCCUGUUUGAGUAUCAGUAACAACCUCAUGUCCCGUAAGGGGGAUGGUAGUGAGCGAGUCCAGCUUGGCCACGAAAGUAGGCCUUUGUGCUGGUCGCUUGAAAUGAAGCGUGUGCUGUGUUUGUCACUGCUCCUCCGCAAAGGCGUACCAGUUCUCCUCGGAGAUCCACUUACGCCGGUGUUUGCAAGAGAGCCUUUGUGCUGACUGAUGGCCGCGUGAAAACCUUUCCAAGAUGCUACGCAGUAUGCAAGGCAUCUUGAUCUUGAUCUCAAAUCAGGCAAGACUACCCGCUGAAUUUAA
rnacentral:misc_RNA from 1 species